UAAUGUCUGGGAAACUGCCUGAUGGAGGGGGAUAACUACUGGAAACGGUAGCUAAUACCGCAUAACGUCGCAAGACCAAAGAGGGGGACCUUCGGGCCUCUUGCCAUCAGAUGUGCCCAGAUGGGAUUAGCUAGUAGGUGGGGUAACGGCUCACCUAGGCGACGAUCCCUAGCUGGUCUGAGAGGAUGACCAACCACACUGGAACUGAGA
rnacentral:rRNA from 1 species